UAUUAGGUAGUUUACAAUCUUAAAAAUUUAGGGUUUAUCUUAGAUAUUCUUAUGCUAUGAAGUAAGCUUAUAUAAGUAUUGUGAUAAUUCUACCAGAGUUCACUUGACUGUCCAGAGUCCAUCUAAUCAAUCAUGUGUUUCAUGAGCCAGAUAGUCUCUAGGUAAAACACUCUAUGGGUGUGUCAUAAACUACAAUUACUGAAACAGGUAAUUCAGUUUUUAAAGAAAUUAACCUGAUAUGUAAAAGCCUUAGCAAAAUAGGACAGUAAGAAGUCAUCUCCAAUCAGUCUAAGAAACAACUCAGCCCAAGAGCUUCUUACAGACCUUGUAUUCCAGUAAAUAAGAAAGAAACACAAAAUACCAAGGAAGUUUGCCCUUUACAUCAAGGAGAGAAAAACAGGCCUUUCCUGAAUGAUUGAGAACAAAUUCAACAAAGAAAUGGUAACUGAUGCAUGGAGAACACCUUUGUAAAAGUUCUACAAGACUGUAUUUAACAUAACUUGUUCCAUCUAGCACCUAAUCUUAGUUUCUCCUAUAAAAUGACGCAGGGCUCCUUGGAAAACUGACUAAUUCUAGAGUUGGGGCAGGAAAAGUACAAGUUGACUCUGGCCAUCAUGUAAUGACAGAAAAUGAAAAAGUGCUAAAAAAUUAAAAGCACGACUAUGGAUACAUGUCAAAAGGAUAUAAGGCUUUGAAAGGGGGAAAAAGCAGUGAAAUAAAGGGAAAGGGAGUUUACAAACUGGUUUGAGAUGAGGAAGCCAGUUUCUCUGAGAAGAAGGAUUUGUUAUCUGAUGAGUGCUGAGUCCUAUCUGAGAAAGCCACACAAUGAAACACUCUCAGGGUAAAUAAGCAACACUUAAGGACACCAUAUGGGCUUUUUAUGCCAAAAACUAAAAUCAACUUCUUGGGUGACGAUGAAUGAACUGAGAGUGGAGGUUCUAUACUACUUAGAAAGAUGAAGGAAAAAGAUUAAAAUCAAAACAAAAUAAAAGGUAAGCAAUAAUUGAUAGAUAAUGGGCAAGUUUAAUGGCGAACUGUACUUAAAGUUAUCAAGAACCAGUACCUGAAAUUUAUUGCAAAGAGAUUUGUAAUUUUUGUUAAGAAUUCCAGUAAACCCUAGACUUCUGGGUAAUGUGAAUCAUUGAGAAGGAAUCUGCUAUUUUCAGGCCAAAAUUUGAUCUUUUAAUGAUGUAAUAAGGUCAACAGAUCAUGAAGUCUCCAUUAACUUACCUUAUAUUGAACUCUUUAAUGGCUUUGAAAUGUAUGAAUUAGGCUCUGUCAAAGAUUGGAUGAAGAUUAUUACAGUUUUGAUUGCCCUACCCUUUCAUUAAGCAUUUAAGGUAUAUCUGUACACUGCUUUCACGAUUCUCACCUUUCUUCCCAACAAUCCAUUAUCCCUCUACACUCCCUCCCCUAAUAGAAUGACUUGCAUUCUCUUCACAUACAGAAACAUCAGUAUCUAUUCCUGAAUAAUCACAGGCAAUACAUUCAAAUAAUUGUCUAGUUGAGAAAAUCCCCUUUUAAUAAUCUAAGGAUGACUAUUUCAGUUGUCUUCUAAUAAAACUGAACUAAAUCUCUGCUAAUGGAAGGUUGCUUUCAGUACUAAGACUAAUUCUUUCCAGAUCAAUUCCACUAGAUAUUUUGUGCAAAAAUGAUUUGAUGGCCAAAUAGAUCUAGGGGGAAAAAAUCAUUCCAUACACUUCCAUUGAUAGGCCCUAAGGCACUAUAGUAUAUUAGAAGCUUUGAAAAAUUCUCAGGAAAGACAUAGUUAUGGUUUUGUUCAAUCCAGUGUUUCUUGCACUUGUUUCACUGGGGAACUAUUUCCCUGCUCCCACUUCCCACACCAUUUUAGCAGCAGACAUGUUUUGAAGUUUCUUGCUCUAGGACUUUAUUUUUCCAUGUUGUUAUUUUUUGUUGUGAUAAUUUUUAUUUUUCAGUUUGUAUUUUCUGUUCAUGAUGAAUGGCUUAGAUCUAAUAUUCUGCCUUUCAAAGGGAAUCAAUUGUCAACAUGGCUGAGCUUUGUAUGUUCUUUUGACUUGGUACUAACAAAGAGUUUUUGCUUAAUAAGGCAUAUUCUUCAUCACUUCUUACUCUAUCUGAGCCAAUGCUCUUAUUUUAUGUAAAUUACCAAACACUUCUUUUAGAUUGAUAUGAUUGUGUCUGUUUUUAGAGACAGAGAAAACAUUAUCUGGGUCAUAAGGAUUGAAUCACAAUCUCCUCUAAGCUCCAACUCAGUGUGAGAUAUUGUUAAUACUUAACAUUUCUACCAUUUAAAAAAAGUUUCUAAGUCACCAUUACCAAUUUUUAUUCAAUAAAUUCAUUCAGACAACAAAAAAAUUAAUAAGCUUCUAAGGUGUACCAAAUAUUCCUUUACUACUCAAACAUUUAUGAAACAUUUGCCAUACUGCAGCCACUGUGCAAGGUGCUGGGGAUAACACAGUAAAACAAACAUAUAAGGCCCAUAUCAUUACCAUUUAACAUGGAAGAUAAACAGUAAUUAUAAAAAAGUAAACUAUUAUGAGGAAGUAGAGAGGGCUACAGGCCAUAUAAUGAGUAGAUCUACUAUGGCGGCAAGAAUCAUAGGCUUCUUGGAAGAAAUGAUGUUUAAGUUGAGAGUGUCACUCAUUUAACAAAUAUUUAUUAAGUACUUACUCUGGUACCAUGCUAGAAUUUGAGAUGCAAUAUUGAAGUAACCACUGUCUUAACGGAGCUUAAAACUUUGUGAGGAAGACAUAACAUGUAAGCAAAUAAAUUACAAGUUGGCAACUAUAAGAAAUGAUAGGUAGUGAAUAAACAAAUUACAAGGAAAUCUAGAUCUGCUAAAGGAGGUCAGAAGAGUAUUCUCAAAAGAGCAAAAUCCAAGCAGUGAACUGAGGAAUAAAUAUCUAAACAUUUUUAUGUUUGGAGAAGGGAAGUUCCUGGCAUAGGAGUAGCAAAGGCAAAGACCCUGAGGCAGGGAAUACAUGGGUCUGCUCCAGGAACUGAGAAAACAUGAGCAUCAUUAGUCUAGUGAGCAAGUGAUGGAAAGAGUGGAAUUGGAUGAAACUGGAGAGGUUAUAUCCCUACAAAGAGCAUGGUUAAAAAAUGCAUAUUUUAUUCUAAUUGGGGAACUACUGGUAGGCCUUAACAGGAGUGACAUAAUAUGACUUGGGUUUUAAGAAGGUAACUUCAGUUUUUGCAUGGAGAAUGGAGAGGAGGGAGCCAAGAGGAGAAUAGGAAGGCCAAUAUGGGGGAUGUUAAAGAAAUCAAGGAAAGACCAUAGAAAAUGAGAUGGAGAGAAUUAGAUGAAUUUGAAAUACCUUUGGCAUUAGAAAGAAAUUUAUAGGGUUCUGCUUUAGUAAUUGGGUGGAUGAUGAUUUCAUUUGUUGAGUGAAGAAAGUCAGGGAUAUCAGGUUUUCUGGAAAAGAGAACUAAAUAACUGUUUUUGACCAUGUUAACUUUGAGUAUGUCUAAAACAUCCAAGUGCAGAUGACAUGUAAGAUGCUAUACUUUUAACUUUGGAUCUUAGAAUAGAUACUUAUGGAUGAAGAUCCUCAUCUGGUACUUUAAGUCGUGAACAUUGCUGAAAUCACCUAUGAGAAACCAUAAUAAGAGAAGAAAAUGGGACCAAGCACUCAGUCCUGGAAAAUUCCAGCAAAUAGAUUUUGGGGUAAAGACAGAACCAGAAAAAGAAGUCAAGAGAAAUGGCCCAUGAGGUAGGAGGAAAAAAGGGUCUAUUUUUUUUUCAGAAAAAAAGAUAAAGAUGUUUAAUAAAAUUGCAUAUUUUAUUAAAUAUUUCUAGGAGAUCAUGAUGAGGGCAGAAAAGUUUCCAUUUGAUUUGGUCACAUGGAGGUCUUUGCUUAUCAUGACAGAGGUACAUAUCUGAAAAAAAAUGUAUGAACAGUAGAGGUGAAAAGAAGAGCAAGAAAACAUUACAAUCAAGAGAAAUACCAUAUAUGAAAGUGUUACAUGGGAGAAGAAGAGGACAAGGACCAGAAAUCUUGUAUGGUUGAAACAUGGGCACAAAAAAGAGCAACAGGACAGAUAGGAGGCUAGAGAGGAAGAAAGAAAUUUUAUUAGGUACUGAAGAUAUAAAUGUCAGGAGAGUACAGGCUUUGUUAGUAUAAAUGACACUAACAAAGAAUUAAAAAUUCACCACGUAGAACUGUGGUUGUAGAGGAAUCAGGGAGGCUAUUGCAGAGAAAAGUUAUGCAUAUACAAAAGGCCAAAGCUAAGGAGUAGUAUGCUACCCUUGGAACGAUGAAAUACUUAGCCACGCUGAAGUAGAAGUUUUCACAGCAUUUAGGGGGAAAUAGUUAGGGAUCAAUCACGAGGGGCUGUGUAUGGCAUGCUGAAAGUUGGGCUUUGUCCUGCAGACAGUGGGAAGACUGAGGAAUUCUAAGUUGAUAAAUAUGAUUUACGAUGAUUCAUGCUUUGAAAAAGUAACUCUGGUAACAGUAUGGAAAAGAAUUGGUGAAGAUGACUUGAAGUAAUGGACCCAAAUUAGGAGACUACUGUAAUAGCACAGGGAAGAAAUGUUGUGAGGAGGGAAAAGACAAGUUCUCAAGAUUUUAAAGAGGUGGAAAUGAAAGAAUUUAAUGACAUUUGGAGGUAAGGGACUUUGGAGAGAGACACUUAAGAUUGUUCCCAGGUCUCAGGCUUGGGUGAUAAGAGAUCUUGAUGUCACUUUACCAAAAUAGGAAAUAAAUCUAUAAAGUAGCAAGUAAAUAAAAUAAAGCAUUCCAUGAGGUCAAAGAGCAGAUAUAAUAGGAGAUUAAGUGAUGGCAGUAUAAAUGUUUGUAGUCUGAAAGUAGGAUAAUGGAAUUUGGAGUUUUAAAGUGGGAGCUUCCAUAAGGAAUAAAAUGGAUCAAGAUACAUUACAGAACAAUAAAAAGGCAGAAAAAUUAAAUGUGCCAAAUAUAAGAUUAGAAUAAAAGAAUUAUGAGAUGUCAAAUGGCUCUAAACAUAUGUUCAAGAUGGUUGAUAAUUUGACUUGAAGCUUUCCAGAGGAUAGACUGAAUCAGUACAAUGUUCAUAGUGUCUAUUCCAAAAAGCUGUUCCUCAAAAGUCUGGCUUUCCAUCAUUAUAGGACAUGAAAAAUUUUUCCCCCAUGAGUUCUUAAAAGAGGACAAUGACUUUGGCUUUUAAACUGGAUUGUGCUUACCUCUGAGAGUUAUGCUAAGGGCUUGGUGGUACUUAAAUCCUAGGAUAAACAGUUUGUCUCCGUGGAAUUUUAACUUUAUUUGAAAAUUUAAAUGAGAAUAAGAAUCAUUAUUUGUAAAAUCCACACUUAUAUGUAUAUAAUGGCAAAAUAAAACUCAGUGAGCUUUUAAGAUAAAAUGAGUCUACAAUUAGUUUCUACACUUAACAUUAUAUUCCAGAAACUGAGAGACAUUAGUGUAUUCUCAUCUACCUUUUGAACGUUAUACAGACUCAGUGCUUACCAAUUUUUUCAUUAAUUUAAAUACUAGAUAGGUAAGAAUAUAAUAGUAACUAUAAUAAUGACUUUUAUAUAGAUUUUGUUCUGUCAAUGGAAGCUGGUGAUCUAACGUUAAUAAAAGUAAUGCUCUAGGGGCCAAAACAAUGCAGAAUGCUACUCAGCUCUCUUUUGGUCUGACCUGAUCCAAGAAUAAAUUAUACUAAGGGUUGAAAUGAUACAUUUCACAUAGUCCUUCAAGACUAUUAUUUAUUUUAACACAGUUUUUAUAAAUAUUAGAUGGCAGAGAGAUCAAGAUAGCAUUAUUUGCUAGGUAUCUGGAGUGUAAUUAUCUUAUACAGCUAGUUACACUUGAUUUAUAUUCACUAAUGAUCAAAAUUUUAGAUAGAAAUUUAGGUUAGCAGAAUCUAACACAUAAAGAACAUGUGACUGAAAAGAAGGACAUAUUAGUUCUUCAAGGAGAUGAACUGAGGCAUAACAGAAAGCUCAAUUUAGUGUAAAUGAUUCAGUAGGUAACCAUGAACAGAGAUGAGCUAUCCCUGGAAAACAAGUUUGCAACCAUUCCAAUUUAUAAAUAAAUGGAUAAUCAAGUUUCCAAAGGAUAUAUAUCAAGAGCAUGGCUAUGAUAAUUCUAAAAUGGAAAAAUAAUUUAAAUAAGUGCUACUAAAUACCUGUUGUAGACAUGAAAAAAAUACCAAAGUGUUUCUAAUGGUUAUUUAUAUUUGGAUCAAGUGACUUCCUUCAUGACCCUCUAAUGUAAACUGAUUGCACAAGGUAUUUGUAAAUAAUGAGCAAGCUGGCAUGCCGAAUACAGUAGUUACAAAACCUGACUUUGCCUUGGCAUCACUUGAGAAGAUUUUCUAUAUCACAAAUCCUCAGGUCCUACUCCAACACAUCCACUAACUGAGAAUCUCUGUAGAUGGGUUCAAGGAAACCGUAUGGCUAAAAUGCUUCCUAAGCAAUUCUGACACAUCAAAAUUUGGAGAACACUACAAGCCUGUUCACUACAAACUGGAUGAAGACUAGAUGUUCAUUACUAAAAAUGAUUACUCUCUUGCAAUGGUUGAUGAUUAGCCAUUCUAUCUGACAUUAAUUAGAUAGUACUUCUAACACCGUUCCUAAUUUGUGACAGUAAAACAGUGUUCCCAAAAUACACAAAAGAGAUUGUUUUUAUAUUCUUUCUAGCUGGAGAGCCAGUGGGUAUCUAUGCCAAACUACUCAAAAAGAAUAUCAAGUUAUUAAGUAACUAGUUGAAUAGGAAGGAUUCCAAUACACAUCUCUGUUUUACAUGCAGGAAAUUAUUAUCUGACUCAUCAGGAGACUAUUUCUGAGUGAGUGAAGGUUAUAUCAAAGCUGCCAGCCUAUAACAUAUUCAUUUUAUUAGACGUAUAGCUGAUUCAUGGAUUUGGAGUCAAAGGUUAUGAAAGAUCCAUAAAAGCUACAUGCAAUCCUAUGUUGUUCCUGACAAAUUUGUCCCAGAGAUGAUAAAAAUAAUAAUAGAGCCCAAAUCAUCAUCUGCCCCUUUCAUAAAACACUGUUCUCAAUAGCUUCAGCUUAACUGUAAGCCUAAAAACCUGAAAUUCAGACAGUAAAAGUUACCCACUCUUUUUGUUUGUUUUAUUAUAAAGACACUCUAUAUUAAAAGGAAGACAAUAACAGAGCCCAGAGUGGUUAAUAAACUGACAUGGGAUUUAAAUAUAAAACAUAAUAUUUUUUUUCAUUCCUAAACCUGUGGAAGUAAAGGUACAGCUGACAGGAACAUAGGAGGCAUAAUGGAAGAUGACGUGGAGAAAACAAAGGGACACUAAAAAUCUCAUCAAAUAGGGCGUGAGUGGUCAACAGAUGCUGUCUGCAACUUUAUGGAACAAGAAACAGUUUUUUAUUCAAGACUAUUUUUUAGAGCAGUUUCAGCAUUAAACUAAAUGGGAGGAUACAGAGAUAUGCUCCUUACCCCUACACAAACAUGACCUCCUCCAUUAUCAACAUCCCCUACCAGAGCAGUACAUUUGUUAUAACUGAUGAACCUACAUUGACACAUCAUUAUCGCUCAAAGCCCAUAGUUUACAUUAAGGUUCACUCUUGGUAUUGUACAUUCUAUGAGUUUGGAUAAAUAUACAAUAUAAUGACAUAUAUCCAUCAUUAUAGUCUCAUACAAAGUAUUCUCACUGUCCUGAAAUUCUUUGGUCCUCUGUGUAUCAUCCCUCUGCCCCAUAUCCCCCAACCCCUGACAAUCACUGAUCUUUUCACUGACUCCAUAGUUUUGCCUUUUCCAUAAUUUUGGGAUCACACAAAUGUAGCUUUUUCAGAUGGCUUCUUUCACUUAGCAAUGUGCAUUUAAGAUUCUUCCAUGUUGUUUCAUGGCUUGAAAACUCAUUUCUUUUUAGUACUGAACAACAUUCUAUUGUAUGGAUGUACUACAGUUUAUUUAUCCAUUCACCUAAUGAAGGACAUCUUGGUUGCUUCCAGCUUUUGGCAAUUUGAAUAAAGCUGCUAUAAUCAUUUGUUUGCAGGUUUUUUAGUGAACAUAAGUUUUCAACUCCUUUGAGUAAAUACCAAGGUAUGUGAUUACUGGUAAUAUGGACAGAGUAUAUUUAGUAUUGUAAGAAAUUGCCACUCUUUCAAAGAGGCUGAACCAUUUUACAUUCCCACCACCAAUAAAUGAGAGUUCAUGUUGCUCCAUAUUCUCACCUGCACUUAUUGUUGACAGUGUUCCAGAUUUAGCUAUUCUGAUAGGUGUGCAGUGGUAUCUCAUUGUUUGAAUUUGCAUUUCAGGAGUUUUGUGGAAGUUUUUUAGUUUUGGGUUUUAUAUUUAGGUCUGUGAUCCAUUCUGAGUUAAUUGUUGUGAAGGGUUGUUAAGAUCUAUGUCUAGAUUCAUUUUUUUGCAUGUAGAUGUCAGUUGUUCCAGUACCAUUUAUUGAAAAGACUAUCUUUCCCCCCAUAGUAUUGCCCUUCCUCCUUUUUGAGCUAAUGCUGAAGUUUCUAUAGGGAGGCAAAAGACCCAGAAUAACCAACCCAAUAUUAAAGGAGAAGAACAAAGAUGGAGGACUGUCACUCCUCAACUUCAAACUUAUUACCCAAUUUCAAGACUUAUUAUAAAGCUAAGUAUUCAAGACAGUGUGGUAUUGGCAAAUAAAUAAAUAAAUAAAUAAAUAAA